rnacentral:rRNA from 1 species
GGACUACCGGGGUUUCUAAUCCUGUUUGAUCCCCACGCUUUCGUGCCUCAGUGUCAAUGCAGGCAUAGUGAACUGCCUUCGCAAUCGGUGUUCUAAUACAUCUCUAAGCAUUUCACCGCUACAUGUAUUAUUCCAUCCACCUCUACCUGAUUCAAGCUAAGCAGUAUCAAUGGCAGUUCCGGAGUUGAGCUCCGGGCUUUCACCACUGACUUACAAAGCCACCUACGCACCCUUUAAACCCAGUGAAUCCGGAUAACGCUUGCACCCUCCGUAUUACCGCGGCUGCUGGCAC